rnacentral:lncRNA from 1 species
UUUUUCUUUUAAAAAAAGUAUCUUUUAUACUUCAAUAUAAGUAUUUGUUUUAUGUUUUGGAUUCAGGUUUCAACUAUGCUAUUUAUUUUAAGCCUCUAUCAAAAUAAUUGACUUGAUCUUCAAUCUUUCAUUUAUGUAAUUUUGUUGUAUCAGUUUUGUUGAGUUCUUAGACAACCUUCAACAAAUGAGUUUUUUUUCACCCAGAAUUAAUCUAAAGUCUUCAGAAUCAUUAAUAGUAAAAAGCCUUGCAAGAGAAAAAAGAACACAUCAAACAAGUGUUUUACACACUGUUCUUUUUGCACAAUAUGAUCAGGCACCUUUCUUUGUUAUUAUAUUCAACUGCAACACAUUAAUGUAUUUUCUUUUUUCUUUUUUCUUUUCUUUUGAUUGUAUGACAUGUCAAAAGGAUAUUUCAAGUAUUCAAUUUUUUUCACAUUGGUAUUUGUUACUUUGCACUCAUAUCCAGCACAUUUCUGUACAGCAUGCCAAUGUGCACACACACACACACACAAUACUGUAUCAUUCUGUGUUUUUCCCCUCUCC